CUGACUGCUAUCGGAUUGAUACUAAGCCCUGCGAGUCAUUGUAGCAAUACAAGGCAUACGGCUCAGUAACGCGUAGUCAACCUAACCUAUGGACGGGAAUAACCUCGGGAAACUGAGAAUAAUGCCCGAUAGAACAUUAUACCUGGAAUGGUUUAUGUUCCAAAUGAUUUAUCGCCGUAGGAUGGGACUGCGGCCUAUCAGUUUGUUGGUGAGGUAAUGGCCCACCAAGACUAUUACAGGUACGGGCUCUGAGAGGAGUAGCCCGGAGAUGGGUACUGAGACACGGACCCAGGCCCUAUGGGGCGCAGCAGGCGAGAAAACUUUGCAAUGUGCGAAAGCACGACAAGGUUAAUCCGAGUGAUUUCUGCUAAAGAGAUCUUUUGUUAGUCCUAGAACCACUAACGAAUAAGGGGUGGGCAAGUUCUGGUGUCAGCCGCCGCGGUAAAACCAGCACCUCAAGUGGUCAGGAUGAUUAUUGGGCCUAAAGCAUCCGUAGCCGGCUCUGUAAGUUUUCGGUUAAAUCUGUACGCUUAACGUACAGGCUGCCGGGAAUACUGCAGAGCUAGGGAGUGGGAGAGGUAGACGGUACUCGAUAGGAAGUGGUAAAAUGCUUUGAUCUAUCGAUGACCACCUGUGGCGAAGGCGGUCUACCAGAACACGUCCGACGGUGAGGGAUGAAAGCUGGGGGAGCAAACCGGAUUAGAUACCCGGGUAGUCCCAGCUGUAAACUAUGCAAACUCAGUGAUGCAUUGGCUUGUGGCCAAUGCAGUGCUGCAGGGAAGCCGUUAAGUUUGCCGCCUGGGAAGUACGUACGCAAGUAUGAAACUUAAAGGAAUGGCGGGGGAC
rnacentral:rRNA from 1 species